rnacentral:rRNA from 1 species
GAGUUUGAUCAUGGCUCAGGAUGAACGCCGACAGAAUGCUUAACACAUGCAAGUCUACUUGAUCCUUCGGGUGAAGGUGGCGGACGGGUGAGUAACGCGUAAAGAACUUGCCUUACAGACUGGGACAACAUUUGGAAACGAAUGCUAAUACCGGAUAUUAUGAUUGGGUCGCAUGAUCUGGUUAUGAAAGCUAUAUGCGCUGUGAGAGAGCUUUGCGUCCCAUUAGUUAGUUGGUGAGGUAACGGCUCACCAAGACGAUGAUGGGUAGCCGGCCUGAGAGGGUGAACGGCCACAAGGGGACUGAGACACGGCCCUUACUCCUACGGGAGGCAGCAGUGGGGAAUAUUGGACAAUGGACCAAAAGUCUGAUCCAGCAAUUCUGUGUGCACGAUGAAGUUUUUCGGAAUGUAAAGUGCUUUCAGUUGGGAAGAAGUCAGUGACGGUACCAACAGAAGAAGCGACGGCUAAAUACGUGCCAGCAGCCGCGGUAAUACGUAUGUCGCAAGCGUUAUCCGGAUUUAUUGGGCGUAAAGCGCGUCUAGGCGGCUUAGUAAGUCUGAUGUGAAAAUGCGGGGCUCAACCCCGUAUUGCGUUGGAAACUGCUAAACUAGAGUACUGGAGAGGUAGGCGGAACUACAAGUGUAGAGGUGAAAUUCGUAGAUAUUUGUAGGAAUGCCGAUGGGGAAGCCAGCCUACUGGACAGAUACUGACGCUAAAGCGCGAAAGCGUGGGUAGCAAACAGGAUUAGAUACCCUGGUAGUCCACGCCGUAAACGAUGAUUACUAGGUGUUGGGGGUCGAACCUCAGCGCCCAAGCUAACGCGAUAAGUAAUCCGCCUGGGGAGUACGUACGCAAGUAUGAAACUCAAAGGAAUUGACGGGGACCCGCACAAGCGGUGGAGCAU